rnacentral:rRNA from 1 species
AUUGAACGCUGGCGGCAUGCCCUACACAUGCAAGUCGAACGGCAGCACGGGUGCUUGCACCUGGUGGCGAGUGGCGAACGGGUGAGUGAUACAUCGGAACGUACCUUAUCGUGGGGGAUAACGCAGCGAAAGCCGUGCUAAUACCGCAUACGCCCUGAGGGGGAAAGCGGGGGAUCGCAAGACCUCGCGCGAUUAGAGCGGCCGAUGCCUGAUUAGCUUGUUGGUGGGGUAAAAGCCCACCAAGGCGACGAUCAGUAGCUGGUCUGAGAGGACGAUCAGCCACACUGGGACUGAGACACGGCCCAGACUCCUACGGGAGGCAGCAGUGGGGAAUUUUGGACAAUGGGGGCAACCCUGAUCCAGCAAUGCCGCGUGAGUGAAGAAGGCCUUCGGGUUGUAAAGCUCUUUUGUCAGGGAAGAAACACCGGCUCUAACACAGUCCGGGAAUGACGGUACCUGAAGAAUAAGCACCGGCUAACUACGUGCCAGCCGCCGCAGUAA